rnacentral:lncRNA from 1 species
GUUAAGUUACUAAUCACAGCAGCAGUGCUGGGAAACAUGUGUAGGAAGGAUGAGGAUGACAGGCACUAUUUUGGUGUGCUCCCCACCACAGCAAUAACAGAAAGAUAGUCCGGGUGCAGUGUCUCUCACCUGUAAUCCCAGCACUUUGGGAGGCUGAGGUGGGAGGAUCACUUGAGCCAGGAGUUCAAGACCAGCUUGGGUGACAUGAUACCGAAACUGGCAACACCCAGAGAUAUUUCCCUCCUAGUCAUAAAGGAAGCCAGUAGCAGAGCCAGAAAUAAUAUUCAAAUUCUGGAUCCACUAGACCAUAUUGCCUGUCUGACAAAGUAUAUGCUUACUUCCUGCUUCAGUUCUAUAAGGUACCCACAAUGCCGGGUUCUCUGCCCACUGGGAGCAAACAAGGGAACGUGCAGACACUGGACAGCAUACGAUGGAUGCCUGCAACUCCCAUACCUGCCCCUGACUGCCUCCAGAAAUAUGCUGUCUCUACUGAAACAGCUUUUCCAACCCUGAGCACGUUUAGUGAACACGGAAAAGAGUGUAAAGGGGUCAAAUGCAGACUUUACAAAAAGAAACCCAAGAUGGAGAUUCCUGUUUGGGAUAUACUGCAGCCUACAUCACGCUAUGACAAUUUUCAUAUAAAGAUGCUGUCUCGGAAAUAAAAGGAUUGGGAGUUUGAAUGAUCUAUGGCUUCCAUUCCAAAAAGGAGUACUACGGAAGUAAUUACUUUGAAAGAAAAGUGAUAAUACGUUUUUGGAGAAAGGUGGAAAUGAAGCAAGGCCCUGAAUAUAUUACCAGGAUGCAUAUUACACUGAAUGAAAUCAUCCAUUGCCCUUCCAGAUCUACCCCAUGGAUGCAGAGCAAGAGCAACCCGUCUUUGUUCAGCAUCCCAGGAGACAGUCCUCUAUUGACAGCGUCAGUCUGGCUCAUUUGCCCUCUGAUUUCCCAUUAAAUGUGGCCAGUGGGAGGCCCCAGCAGAUGGAAGGCCAGGAGGAUGAAGGGCCUGCAGCAUUUGUUCUCCUAGCUCCCACCCUGCCAGGCCUCUGUCUGACAGUGGCUCACGCUUUUCCACAGCUACUGUCAGGUGGCCUCUCCCAAAGUGACAGUGCUCACUUGGUUCUGUAAGGGUUUUCUCCAUUGCCUCUUGCCAGGGAGGGUAAUAGCUUCCUAGGACCAGAUGCCAGCACCUGAGGGUGCCCACCACCCCAUGCUGUUUCCCUUAACCCUGCCUACACCUUCAAGAAUUGAAACUCUUUGCAGCCUUCCUUUUUUUUUUAAAAAAAAGGUACCGUCGAUUUCCUAAAGGACCGUGAGUGAUAUACACUUAGAGAUUCUUUUGUCAUGUUACUUUCCAUAGCUCAAUGUGGUUGUUAUCCACAUUAUACAAAGAACAUAAUACCUACCUUAAAUUUUUAAUAUUUUGUCUUUAUUCUUCAACUCUGUGUAGCAUUUCCUUCUGGUUAAGAACAUGCAGAUAAUCCAAAUAAACAGAUUUGACUAAAAGAAAAAAAAAG